rnacentral:lncRNA from 1 species
AAAAUGUGUCUGGAAUUGGUGGGUUCUUGGUCUUACUGACUUUAAGAAUGAAGUUGCGGACUUUUGCGGUGAUCCACCCUACCACAUAUUGUCUCCUAAUGGCCGUCCAGUUUAUCCUGGAGCCCUUGCAUGACACAGGCCUAUCGAAGCAUAGGAGAUGCCAAUAUUUUACCUCUUGGGUACUUUCUGUGUAGAAGAUUCAUAACAAGAACAAUACUUAUUCUGCAAUUCUUUAUAUAAAGUAAGAAGAAAGCCCAAAGACAAAACCAGAGGCAACUGGCUGCUGCAUCGCCCACCUAGUGGCAGUAGUGUGAGCUAUGGACAAAAGAUCUAAGUCUCCAGGACAAAGAGUUGUGCAGCUGCUCAUUUUCCUGUUGACUUCUGUCUAAGACUUGGAGAUGUUUGUAAGAUUGGGACCUACCUACAGAGCUCCAGAGGGAAGUGAGAAGGAUGUUCACUUGCUGGUGAGAGAAGGAGCUGGUU